UCAGCGCGUGCUGACAGCAGGCAGCAGAUUUUCUGUCCAUUGAUCCGCUGCCCCAGACCCCAGCUGGCAGGGCCCCAAUUAACAGCGGGGUGGAAUCCAUAUCUUCCGCUUAAGGGGGGGCCGAUGAAUCCAAACGACAUUGAGCCACGCUUGUGUAUAUGAAGAGUGACCAAUUGGGUGUAGGAGCUAUGAUCCAAAACUCUCUGGAAUGUAUAAAUAAUGACACUUUUGCGCCAUACUAUAUGUAGAUGAAUUUUUAAUGUAUUCGAGCGACAUUCCUUCUUAAACAGUGAUUCAACAUUUGAGUUUUCCUGGGUAAUUUUACACUCCAUUCCACAUCAACAUGCAAACACAAUUUAUUGAGUGAUUACAAAACCGAUUGGCUCUCCCCAAUGCGACAAAGUAGAACUGCCUGCGAAAAAACAUUGUAGAAAACAAUGGCAUCGGGGGUGCAAAGCAAUUUCAUUCAUAAACUAUAAUGGAUAACUGAUUGGGCCAUAAAAAUGAUGAUAUGCUAUUAAAGAGUAGUUAUCGCUUUUAUUAAUAUUCCCAUUUGACUUAAAAUACAUUAUGUAAAUAUAUAUAUGUUUAUAUAUAUAGAUGUGUAUAUAUCAUUUAGCAUACAAUUAGAUUUACGUCUUUAGAGUUUCUCUGCCUGCUUUCAUUUCCCUCCUAGAUACAAUACUCUUCCCUUCCUUCCUUCCUUCCUUCCAUCCCUACACAAAUUUCCUUAUAAAACCUGAUAGCCAAUGCAUUACGAUCUUUGCAAAUAAAUUUCAUCUAAUAAAAUUAACUAGAAUUCGUGUAUUCGUUCUUUCGCUCAAGAAAAUUAUAGUAAAGGCCAUUUCUUGUUCAACUCCAAGACAUAGUUUCUUUUUUUUUGGGGGUGUUGGUUGGUUUUUCGAGAAAAGGUUUUGAUUGG